CCGAUUUCUCUCCUCCUCCCACAUUAGACAAGUGACUAACCUCUCAUCCCUCACUUCCUUCUCAUCCCUCACCUCACUGUGCAUCGAUUCUGCCCCAAAUCAGCUUUUGCUUUGCUUCAUACUCUUGAAGGGGAUAUGCUUCAAGGUCUUGUUUUCGGAUUUACUUCCAGCUACUAGAGGAUUUCAAAAAGUCGAGUGGACGAAGAGAAACCCUAAUCCUAAUGAUUACAAUCUACCGUCAUCUCUGGUAAUUCCUCUCCAUCUCGCUUCUAUUUUUGUGUCCUUUCUUCUUCCUUGCUUCGGGUCGGAAAAUUAAAGAAUUGAGUGAAUCAAAAACCAAAGGAGGUUCAUGGCUAAGGGUAAAGAUGUCCGAGUAACGGUUAUUUUGGAAUGUACCAGUUGUGUUCGAAAUCGUGUUAAUAAGGAAUCAAUGGGCAUUUCCAGAUAUAUUACUCAAAAGAAUCGACACAAUACGCCUAGUCGAUUGGAAUUGAGAAAAUUCUGUCCCUGUUGUUACAAACAUACGAUUCAUGGGGAGA